rnacentral:rRNA from 1 species
ACUCUCAGCAACGGAUAUCUUGGCUCUUGCAACGAUGAAGAACGCAGCGAAAUGCGAUACGUAGUGUGAAUUGCAGAAUUCCGCGAAUCAUCGAGUUUUUGAACGCAAGUUGCGCCCGAGGCUUGUCCGAGGGCAUUUCCGCCAGAGCGUCA